GUGGGGAAUUUUGCGCAAUGGGCGCAAGCCUGACGCAGCAACGCCGCGUGAGUGAUGAAGGUCUUCGGAUCGUAAAGCUCUGUCGGCGGGAACGAUGCUUUCGCUGGAUAACACCCAGCGGAAUCGACGGUACUCGCAAAGGAAGCACCGGCUAACUCUGUGCCAGCAGCCGCGGUAAGACAGAGGGUGCAAGCGUUGUUCGGAAUCAUUGGGCGUAAAGGGCGCGUAGGCGGCUUGGCAAGUUGGAUGUGAAAGCCCCGGGCUUAACCCGGGAAGUGCAUCCAAAACUGCUUUGCUUGAGUGCUGGAGAGGGUGGUGGAAUUCCCAGUGUAGAGGUGAAAUUCGUAGAUAUUGGGAGGAACACCCGUGGCGAAGGCGGCCACCUGGACAGACACUGACGCUGAGGCGCGAAAGCGUGGGGAGCAAACAGGAUUAGAAACCCGAGUAGUCC
rnacentral:rRNA from 1 species